AGUGAACGCUGGCGGUAGGCCUAACACAUGCAAGUCGAACGGCAGCACAGUAAGAGCUUGCUCUUACGGGUGGCGAGUGGCGGACGGGUGAGGAAUACAUCGGAAUCUACUUUUUCGUGGGGGAUAACGUAGGGAAACUUACGCUACUACCGCAUACGACCUACGGGUGAAAGCAGGGGAUCUUCGGACCUUGCUCGAUUGAAUGAGCCGAUGUCGGAUUAGCUAGUUGGCGGGGUAAAGGCCCACCAAGGCGACGAUCCGUAGCUGGUCUGAGAGGAUGAUCAGCCACACUGGAACUGAGACACGGUCCAGACUCCUACGGGAGGCAGCAGUGGGGAAUAUUGGACAAUGGGCGCAAGCCUGAUCCAGCAAUACCGCGUGGGUGAAGAAGGCCUUCGGGUUGUAAAGCCCUGUUGUUGGGAAAGAAAAGCAGCAGGUUAAUACCCCGCUGUUCUGACGGUACCCAAAGAAUAAGCACCGGCUAACUUCGUG
rnacentral:rRNA from 1 species